UACAGAGGGUGCGAGCGUUGUCCGGAAUCAUUGGGCGUAAAGGGCGCGUAGGCGGGAUGGCAAGUCGGUCGUGAAAUCCCUCGGCCCAACUGAGGAUCGUCGAUCGAUACUGCCGUUCUUGAGGAUUGCAGAGGAGACUGGAAUUCCCGGUGUAGCGGUGAAAUGUGUAGAGAUCGGGAGGAACACCGGUGGCGAAGGCGGGUCUCUGGGCAAUUCCUGACGCUGAGGCGCGAAAGCGUGGGGAGCAAACGGG
rnacentral:rRNA from 1 species